CCUAUACCUCCUCUGUCCCUCAGGAGGUUUUCCAGUCAUGCCUCACUGAGCCUGAGGCAAAAACAGGACUUGCUGAAGGAAGUUUUAAAUCGCUGUCAUGGCGGAGCUUCCGUCCUCAUCUCCCACUGAACUGUUAGCAGCUAGCAGUUAGCUAUAAUCUUCCACAGCCACGAGCUGUGAGGAAUGAAAUUCCUGCAGCACCGUUGUUGGUUGAAGGAUAAUGGCCAAUCUUUUCCAUGGACAGGACUGUGAAGGUGGAAGUUGGGUCACAGCAGCAGGAGAAGCUGGUUUUCCUUUGACAAAUUUUCUUCUUCUUCUGGGUUUAUUUGCGUCUUUGGCGACUUCACAGUUUGUUUUUGCUUUUGUCUGGAAAUAAACAUCAUGAAUAAACAUGUUUAUUUAUUUCUCAGGUAAGAGAAAGAUUAUGAGAUUUAAAAACAAACAAACCUUUUUCUUGCUGAGACGACCCAGUUGGUACUCUGGCCGUUCCUCGUCCUCCUCAUCAUUUUCUUGCUCACCUUUGUCAUCAGGAGUCUCCUCUUCUUCUUUCCAGAUGAGAGCAGAGACGAGUCUAAAACAUUUUCAGACAGAAAUUCACUUUAUCUGCACCAACAGGAAGAUUUUAACUUCUUGUUUCUACUCACCGGCUGUGGCGUUCGUCUCCUCUUUCUCGUCCUCUUUUGCACGUCUCCAUCAGUCGUCGGUGUUUCUGCGAUGUCCACCUGAAAUAUCUCAUCAGAACUUUUUUUGGACUUCUUCUUCUUCUUCUUUUUCUUGGGAGU